rnacentral:rRNA from 1 species
UACGAAGGGGGCUAGCGUUGCUCGGAAUCACUGGGCGUAAAGGGUGCGUAGGCGGGUCUUUAAGUCAGGGGUGAAAUCCUGGAGCUCAACUCCAGAACUGCCUUUGAUACUGAAGAUCUUGAGUUCGGGAGAGGUGAGUGGAACUGCGAGUGUAGAGGUGAAAUUCGUAGAUAUUCGCAAGAACACCAGUGGCGAAGGCGGCUCACUGGCCCGAUACUGACGCUGAGGUGGCGAAAAGCGUGGGGAGCAAACAGG